rnacentral:lncRNA from 1 species
AUGGGAAUAGGAAGAGAAAUCUGUUUUUGUCAGCAGAGUGACAGCAGCUUCUUUUAUGACUUUGGAGAUGAAGAAACUAAAAAUGUGUUGCAUAUUGUUACAAAAUAAUAAGUCAACUAAAAGUCUUUUGACAUAAUUUUAUUUUGCCAUCCCUGGCUAGGAGGCAUAGUUGUUAUUUAAAAAUGAAAAGAGCUAAAUGUUCUUCAGAUGCUCAGUUUUUUGUAGUGUAUUGAAAACAUGCUUAGCCCAGUCAGAGCUGUGUCAGUGUGAGGGAUAUUAGUAGUUUGGGUUUUGGAGUGGAUAGUUACUGUAUGUUGGGUAGUGGCUAACAUAAUAAGGUCAUAAACUGGUUCAGAUGCUGCCUUCUGUAUUACGUAACACUAGGAACUGACCCUAGCAAUCAUCAUUUGAGGCUGUAUUCUUUCAUUCUACAAAAGCCAUAUCUCUAGAGAUAAGGCUGUGAGGCACUCUUCCGCAAGCAGCAGAACUACAUACAACCCACAACUGAGUGUGCUGAAAAGGCUACAUCCAACACAAGGGCUUGUGAGCUGCCUCAAGUCACAUGGCAGCCCUAUUCAACUUGAUUAUCUUUCCAAAUACUUGCCCCCACUUUGCUACUUCCUUAAUCCCCAACUAUGCAGUUUGGCCUCUGUUCUGCAAAGAUUUUCACAUUAUUGUCUUGCAGUGCAUGGAUGGACUCCGGUUACUCUGCGUGUCCCCACAUGCCACGCACAGCUUGCAGGCAACCUGGGGCUCUUUGAUCUACCUCAGGCAUGAGAUGUUCAUGUAUACAACUCAAGCACAGAUAAAAUAUGGAGCAUCUGUUAUACCCAAAACUUUCAUCUGGCACAUGAAAAAAAGGGUUGUCAGCACAUGCUUCCCAGCUGUCAUUGAUGCAGGAGCUGGACAGAGACUUUGCCAGUACUGGUGAUACACUGAAACUUCAGUUUGCAAAGGGUAUCCCAUGAAGCAGAUUCCCAUAGAAGCUGCCUACAGGCAAUGAGAAGAGUGAGAGGUUACAAGCCUUCACAAGGAUAUCCUGCCUGCUGAACUUCAGCUGUGUAGAUACUGCAGACAGUUUUGCAUCCUGGAACACUGUCCUCUGCAGGGACACACAUGCACACAUGGCAUGGCUGCCUCAGGCCGUAAUGAGCUCUUGGGCUUGGAAACUGGGAUCCUAGAUAAACUACAGCUAUCUAAAUCUAGGUGCAUCCCGUCUUCGGCUGUGAACUUUCCUCUUUCCUUGGGCCAACCAUGAGAUGAAGGGCUUUGCUUUAGGGGGACAGCUUCAUGAGCAGCCUACUGGCAAGGUGGAAGAUGAGCACCUGAGUCAGUGAAUUGAGUGGGUCACAUCAUCUGUGUUUUAACUGCAGGUCACAUCAUACCUGAUUGAUUCUCUGUGGCUGUAUGACUGCUGGGAAGAAAAAUGUUUCUGGAAUUGCAGCAAGCUGAAUUCCCCAGAUAUACAUGCUCUCAAAAUGUUCCUGUUUCUACAAAGUGGAAAAGCUUUGAUUAAUAGGAAUAGCACUAGACUUUAAGGUGCACUUUAUUUCAUUGAUGAACUUUGAGGUGUCUCCUGCUGUACCGGUUUUGUAAACUGUAAUCGUUAACAUUGCUUAUUCAGGAUUUACAAGCUAGACUAACAUUGCCUAUUUUUUUCAGGCUGCUACAGGGAUAAAUAACUGAUGUUGAAGAAGCAGAUCAGGAUCUCUGGGGGAAAUAAAAAAAAAGAGUGGUGUGUGGGUUUUACA